rnacentral:misc_RNA from 1 species
AUGAUAGGAGCCAAUCUGCGAUUCGGCAUCGGGGCGUCGGGCAAUGUCACGUCGAACGCCACAAAGGUCUUCCAGUGCCAUCCGGGCGGCGUGGCCGAGGCCACCGUCAUUUUUAGCCUCGGCGCUAUGGGAAUGGGCGCCAACAUUAUGCUCAUGGCCCUCAUACUCGGCAAGCGAAACUUGAGAAGAUGGUCGCAAGGUCUGCUGUUUCAUCAAGCCAUGGUGGAUUGCGCGCGAGCCGCCAUCCUCUUGCCACUCGGCUCGAGCAUCCUCAACUGUCAGCCGGUCAAUAAGUGCUCUCUGGUCGAGACGGCCUUUCUCUUGCUGGUCACCGUUUCCACGGUCAACAUGCUUACUACCGUGCUCAACGACAGUCCCGUCUUCGAGGAGGAGAACGACGGCGAUGGCAUAGAGAUCGCCGCGCCCAUUCUCAUGGAUUCACCUCAGUGCGUAAUCUUCGGUACGUUCAUGAUCUGGUUCGCGAGCAUCACCAUCAAUUUGGGCCCGACCUUUCUGAGCGGUGCGCUGGCCGCCAACACGGAGACGGGCCACAACGAGCCCAGCUGUCCCCUGGUGCACGGCCCCUUCCGCCACUACAUACUCAAUCUGUUAUGGAUAUUCAUCAACAUCAUCUGCGUCGUGCUGACGCUCUUCCACCUCAGAAAGCUGCACAGAGACUUGACGAAAUCCAACGUCGAGGCGGUGAGAGUAACCGGACUCGUGACCACACUGGUCAACGUGACCGGCGGCCAGGCGGCUGGACCGAGACCCGGAGAAGACGGCGGCUCGGCGGUCGACGGUGUUCGCAGAAGCAGCGGUACGCCAAAGAGGGUUGGCGCCAUCCAGGAGCAUCAAAAAAUGAGAAACUAUCUGCGAAGAAUAGAGCGCGACGGCGUCCAGAGGGUGAAGAUGUUUCUCGUCAUCACGGCGGCCUACGUCAUUUUCUGGGGGCCGCUGUUCUUCGUCACCCUGGUGCAUCAUCCAGCGAUCGGCAACACGACGGGAUACGAGGUAACGCUGCACAUCGCCUACGUGCACGCGUUCGUCAAUCCGACCCUCUUCCUCACGCUGCACCGCGGCCUGCGGCAGGGCAUGACCGACGUCUGUUGCGGCUGCUGCGAGAGCUUCGCCCGCUGGAUCCUCGGCGCCACCGCCCCCGGCAGCCCCGUCAUGUCCAUCAGCGGCGGCGGUCUCCAUCAUCAGAUCCAACAGCAGCAGCAGCAGCAGCAGCCGCCGCGCUACGACGUGCAGGCGUCGCGCCACACGCAGACGCCCAAGCUGCCCUACGUCACGGCUCAGGCGGCGGCCAGCUGCGACCUCAGCGACGUGGCCCUGCUCAAGCCGCCGCUGCCGCCGCAGCCCAAGCAUCACAUGCUCCUUAUUUAAAACUAUGGAAAGUUGAGAAUUUUUGAGCGAAGAUGUCACUUUUGUAACUGGCGACAGCGGAAAAUAGGCUGAUCGCUCCGAUCUCUGGGGCAUCUCGUCGUCGCGGCCUAAGAGCACCACCAGCCUGUACGAGG